CAGCUGGGCAGUUGAGGGAGGGAGAGGAGAUGGCUGGCCUUGCCCAGUGCUUCCCUGAAACCUCAGUAUGAAACAUGACAUCAUGGACAACUCCUACCCCAAAAAAGUCUUUACCAUAGUAAUCCGGGCACUUCGACUUUACUAGAACUUUAACCUUGUUGCCAGAACUGGCUUUUUUACCUUACAAGUCUCCAAUUCCCCUCAGGGCAGCUGAUCCUAAGUGCCUUCUUUAAAGAAGGCAGUAGAUUAGAAAUAGGAUCCUCAUCCCCCAACUUUCUCUGCACUACUGGAUUGGCAAGUUUCAAACAACAUAAUUUUGUCUGCUACCAAUGAAUAUGCCAACCAUAACAGCACUUCCCUUGACAGUCAUUAUUUUAGGGCUUCCUAUGGAACUUACUUUGCUUAAACAAGUUGUAGGAUUGAUUUUUUUACUUCUUAAUGCCGUCUGCUUUUUCACUUUCAGCAUAUUUUUUUAGAAGCAGAGAGGAGCCUCAGCGUUUCUGGGGCUUAGUGGCAGGGGUUUGCCCCAUGCCGUGGGUGGGAGUGACAGCUGGAACAUGGGAAGGCAGAGAUGGGGGGGAAGUGGCUGGGGGCUUCUGUGAUUCUGAGAUGUUGGUGGGCAAUGACUGGCAAAUCUUAAAAAUCACUGGAACUAGAUAAAAAUUUUGCCUCUCUGCCACCCAUUCACCGUUUUCGAAUUUCCACUGCUUCAGUAACAUCUAGUUCACUCCUUUCAUCUCUUUUAGGAAAACCAUUGAACUAGAGGAGACGAGCAGGCUAGUGCAUGAGAAUAUUUAAAAAGUACGUCCUUCAAAGAGCAACCCACUGCAGGGCAGCUGCCUCUGCAGGAUGGGUGCAUGAGUAUCCGAGGAGCACCAUGCACCCAGUUCUAGCAUGGCCCAAGCAAGGGUGCCGGGGAGCUUGAGCAGGACUGGAAGUCUUGCUUCCCGGGAGGUGGUAAUAGCACCAACAACAAUGGUGCCAGCUCACAGGUUUCCAGCACUUUCAAAGGCAAUGGGUGCUGGGCUCAGCUAUCACCCACCUGAGAUCUCAGCUUACCCUUCCAGGGAGGAAGAUACCAUUCUCAACCCAUUUUACUGAGCAAGAUAUUUAAGCUUCAAAGGAAUAAAUAACUUCUCUGAAAGUGCAAAGGUAUUAAAUGAUAGAGCUGAGAUUCAAACCCAGAUCUGUCUGAUUAAGGAGUUCAUCCAAAUUCAUUAUCACAAGAUAUGACUCAGGCCACGGAACUGAGGGAUAAUUCUGGGCUUUUGCGGUUGGCGUGGUGGCUGACAAACAUAGUUUUCUGAGCCAUUUGAUAGAAAUCGAAUUAACUCCAGGUCCUUCAGAUGCUCCAGGUGGCUGUUGCUUCUGCUACCUCUUUGCCAACCCAAUGUGCACGAAUGUGUAGAACCACGUACACUGCCCCAGGUCACUUCAAGACAAAUAAUGGUGUAUGCGGGGUGGAGUGCAGAGGGACAG
rnacentral:lncRNA from 1 species